GCCAGGCACAGUGGCAUGUACCUGUAGUCCCAGCUACUUGGGAGGCUGAGGCAGGAGAAUUGCUUGAACCCAGGAGGUGAAGUUGCAGUGAGCCAAGAUCAUGCCACUGCACUCCAGCCUGGGUGACAGAGCGAGANNNNNNNNNNUCUCGCUCUGUCACCCAGGCUGGAGUGCAGUGGCAUGAUCUUGGCUCACUGCAACUUCACCUCCUGGGUUCAAGCAAUUCUCCUGCCUCAG
rnacentral:SRP_RNA from 1 species